UACGAAGGGGGCUAGCGUUGUUCGGAAUUACUGGGCGUAAAGCGCACGUAGGCGGAUAGUUAAGUCGGGGGUGAAAUCCCGGGGCUCAACCCCGGAACUGCCUUCGAUACUGGCUGUCUAGAGAUCGAGAGAGGUGAGUGGAAUUCCGAGUGUAGAGGUGAAAUUCGUAGAUAUUCGGAGGAACACCAGUGGCGAAGGCGGCUCACUGGCUCGAUACUGACGCUGAGGUGCGAAAGCGUGGGGAGCAAACAGG
rnacentral:rRNA from 1 species